GUGGGGAAUAUUGGACAAUGGACGCAAGUCUGAUCCAGCCAUGCCGCGUGAGUGAUGAAGGCCUUCGGGUUGUAAAGCUCUUUAGCCGAUGAUUAUAAUGACUGUAGUCGGAAAAUAAGCCCCGGCUAACUUCGUGCCAGCAGCCGCGGUAAUACGAAGGGGGCGAGCGUUAUUCGGAAUCACUGGGCGUAAAGCGUGCGUAGGCGGUUUUGUAAGUUGGGAGUGAAAGCCCAGGGCUCAACCCUGGAAUUGCUCUCAAAACUACAAGAGUUGAAUUCGGGAGAGGAUAGCGGAAUUGUCAGUGUAGCAGUGAAAUGCGUAGAUAUUGACAGGAACACCAGUGGCGUAAGCGGCUAUCUGGACCGACAUUGACGCUGAGGCACGAAAGCGUGGGGAUCAAACAGGAUUAGAUACCCCAGUAGUCC
rnacentral:rRNA from 1 species